rnacentral:rRNA from 1 species
UACGGGGGGGGGCAAGCGUUGUUCGGAAUUACUGGGCGUAAAGCGCGCGUAGGCGGAUCAGGAAGUUGGGGGUGAAAUCCCGGGGCUCAACCCCGGAAUGGCCUUCAAAACUCCUGGUCUUGAGUUCGAGAGAGGUGAGUGGAAUUCCGAGUGUAGAGGUGAAAUUCGUAGAUAUUCGGAGGAACACCAGUGGCGAAGGCGGCUCACUGGCUCGACACUGACGCUGAGGUGCGAAAGCGUGGGGAGC